rnacentral:rRNA from 1 species
UACGUAGGGUGCGAGCGUUGUCCGGAAUUAUUGGGCGUAAAGAGCUUGUAGGCGGUUUGUCGCGUCUGCCGUGAAAAUCCGAGGCUCAACCUCGGACUUGCGGUGGGUACGGGGCAGACUAGAGUGUGGUAGGGGGAGACUGGAAUUCCUGGUGUAGCGGUGAAAUGCGCAGGAUAUCAGGAGGAACACCGAUGGCGAAGGCAGGUCUCUGGGCCACUACUGACGCUGAGAAGCGAAAGCGUGGGUAGCAAACAGG